rnacentral:rRNA from 1 species
UACAGAGGGGGCAAGCGUUGUUCGGAAUUACUGGGCGUAAAGCGCACGUAGGCGGAUUUGUAAGUCAGGGGUGAAAUCCCGAGGCUCAACCUCGGAACUGCCUUUGAUACUGCAAAUCUCGAGUCCGGAAGAGGUGAGUGGAAUUCCUAGUGUAGAGGUGAAAUUCGUAGAUACUAGGAAGAACACCAGUGGCGAAGGCGGCUCACUGGUCCGGUACUGACGCUGAGGUGCGAAAGCGUGGGGAGCAAACAGG